rnacentral:rRNA from 1 species
UACGGGGGGAGCAAGCGUUGUUCGGAUUUACUGGGCGUAAAGGGCGCGUAGGCGGCUCUGUUAGUCAGGCGUGAAAUUCCUGGGCUCAACCUGGGGACUGCGCUUGAUACGGCGGGGCUUGAGGAUGGAAGAGGGUCGCGGAAUUCCCAGUGUAGAGGUGAAAUUCGUAGAUAUUGGGAAGAACACCGGUGGCGAAGGCGGCGACCUGGUCCAUUACUGACGCUGAGGCGCGACAGCGUGGGGGAGCAAACAGG